rnacentral:misc_RNA from 1 species
GACGAACCGAGCGAACGUUGUUCGGAUUCACUGGGCUUAAAGGGCGCGUAGGCGGGUGGCCAAGUCAAGGGUGAAAUCCCCCGGCCCAACCGGGGAACUGCCUCUGAUACUGGCCGUCUGGAGGGGGAUAGGGGCACGCGGAACUUCCGGUGGAGCGGUGAAAUGCGUAGAUAUCGGAAGGAACGCCGGUGGCGAAAGCGGCGUGCUGGAUCCUUUCUGACGCUGAGGCGCGAAAGCCAGGGGAGCAAACGGG